ACGAACGCUGGCGGCACGCUUAACACAUGCAAGUCGAACGAGAGAAGAGGAGCUUGCUUUUCUGAUCUAGUGGCGGACGGGUGAGUAACACGUGAGCAAUCUGCCUUUCAGAGGGGGAUACCGAUUGGAAACGAUCGUUAAUACCGCAUAACAUAAUUGAACCGCAUGAUUUGAUUAUCAAAGAUUUAUCGCUGAAAGAUGAGCUCGCGUCUGAUUAGCUAGUUGGUAAGGUAACGGCUUACCAAGGCGACGAUCAGUAGCCGGACUGAGAGGUUGAUCGGCCACAUUGGGACUGAGACACGGCCCAGACUCCUACGGGAGGCAGCAGUGGGGAAUAUUGCACAAUGGAGGAAACUCUGAUGCAGCGAUGCCGCGUGAGGGAAGAAGGUUUUAGGAUUGUAAACCUCUGUCUUCAGGGACGAAAAAAGACGGUACCUGAGGAGGAAGCUCCGGCUAACUACGUGCCAGCAGCCGCGGUAAUACGUAGGGAGCGAGCGUUGUCCGGAAUUACUGGGUGUAAAGGGAGCGUAGGCGGGAUCGCAAGUCAGAUGUGAAAACUAUGGGCUUAACCCAUAAACUGCAUUUGAAACUGUGGUUCUUGAGUGAAGUAGAGGUAAGCGGAAUUCCUAGUGUAGCGGUGAAAUGCGUAGAUAUUAGGAGGAACAUCAGUGGCGAAGGCGGCUUACUGGGCUUUAACUGACGCUGAGGCUCGAAAGCGUGGGGAGCAAACAGGAUUAGAUACCCUGGUAGUCCACGCCGUAAACGAUGAUUACUAGGUGUGGGGGGACUGACCCCUUCCGUGCCGCAGCAAACGCAAUAAGUAAUCCACCUGGGGAGUACGACCGCAAGGUUGAAACUCAAAGGAAUUGACGGGGGCCCGCACAAGCAGUGGAGUAUGUGGAUUAAUUCGAAGCAACGCGAAGAACCUUACCAGGUCUUGACAUCGUAUGCAUAGCUCAGAGAUGAGUGAAAUCUCUUCGGAGACAUAUAGACAGGUGGUGCAUGGUUGUCGUCAGCUCGUGUCGUGAGAUGUUGGGUUAAGUCCCGCAACGAGCGCAACCCUUACUGUUAGUUGCUACGCAAGAGCACUCUAGCAGGACUGCCGUUGACAAAACGGAGGAAGGUGGGGAUGACGUCAAAUCAUCAUGCCCCUUAUGACCUGGGCCUCACACGUACUACAAUGGCUGUCAACAGAGGGAAGCAAAGCCACGAGGUGGAGCAAACCCCUAAAAGCAGUCUUAGUUCGGAUUGUAGGCUGCAACCCGCCUACAUGAAGUCGGAAUUGCUAGUAAUCGCAGAUCAGCAUGCUGCGGUGAAUACGUUCCCGGGCCUUGUACACACCGCCCGUCACGCCAUGGGAGUCGGUAACACCCGAAGCCUGUAGUCUAACCGCAAGGAGGACGCAGUCGAAGGUGGGAUUGAUGACUGGGGUG
rnacentral:rRNA from 1 species